rnacentral:rRNA from 1 species
GACGUAGGGCGCAAGCGUUGUCCGGAUUUAUUGGGCGUAAAGAGCUCGUAGGCGGCUUGUUGCGUCGUCCGUGAAAACCCGCAGCUCAACUGCGGGCUUGCGGACGAUACGGGCAGGCUAGAGUUCGGUAGGGGAGACUGGAAUUCCAGGUGUAGCGGUGAAAUGCGUAGAUAUCUGGAGGAACACCGGUGGCGAAGGCGGCAUCCUGGACCGAUACUGACGCUGAUGAGCGAAAGCCAGGGGAGCAAACGGG